GCCAGCGGCGAUAGCACGUUAAAUGCACAAGUUUCCGAUGGAUCACUGAAGUGAAGUUACGUUGAGCGAGGUUCGUACUUGAAUGGUCACCGUCUGGACAAUCGUGUUCUACUGGCU
rfam:Asian citrus Psyllid, Diaphorina citri - Florida Strain, whole genome shotgun sequence.